UAGUCAUAUGCUUGUUUCAAAGAUUAAGCCAUGCAUGUCUAAGUAUAAACACCUUUAUACUGUGAGACUGCGUACAGCUCAUUAAAUCAGUCAUUAUUUAUUUGAAGGUUUACCUUUCUACAUGGAUACCCGUAGUAAUUCUAGAGCUAAUACAUGCACAAGGGAGCGACUCGCAAGGGAAGCUCUGCAUUUAUUAGAUUCAAAAACCAAUGCAGGUUCUGCCUGGUCUGUGGUGAUUCAUAAUAACUGAGCGGAGCACACGGCCUCGCGCCGGGUG
rnacentral:rRNA from 1 species